rnacentral:tRNA from 1 species
GCGCCUAUAGCUCAGUGGAUAGAGCAUCUGUUUCCUAAGUAAAAAGUUGUAGGUUCGACCCCUACCUCAUGCG